UUUCUCUCUCACCAAAAAGUCUCUUCCUCAAACUCAAACUCAAACUCAAACCUACCCACUUUCUCUCCCAUAAGAGACCAAAGAGAGAGGACUAUAUAGUGUUAAACCCUCAACUCCCAACAAUUCAUAACAAGGGUUUGGUUAUUCCACUGCAACUGGAGUAGGCAUCCAAAGGGAUCGCAUUGAUCCAAAAUUCAACCUUUCAUAUUCUCUCUUUUCGGAUCAUGCUAUCCCUUUGGAUUUCUCCUUCACUGGCUUCUGUAACGACACCUCAAACACAAUCGCACAAUUCAUUUAUGUCUUUGAUUGCCUUAAUUGUUUCACGUUUCUUGAAUCUGUAUUCCUUUUCUGAAAGGAGCCACCGGAUCCGACCCUUGAGUUAGUUGUGUUUGUGUUGAGAUGAAAAUGUUGGAAUUAAGCAACGCAGUGGUGGCCCUGAGCUGCGUCAAUUAUACUCCAAAAACUCUUGCUUUUAUGGACUUUAAAUUAGAAUCCAAGGCAUUAGAAGUCAAUUACACUUGUAACUUUGGGCCUCACAUCUCGUGUUCAAAGUUCAAACCGUCACUGAUACAUGUGCUGAGACAAGUUAAUUAAGAAUUAAAAGUGAAAAAGUCUUGCAAACGUUGUUUAUUUUUUAUUUUUUUUGCCUUUUUCCUAUUCUUGGCACAUGUACCCAACAUUCUAGCAUAAACCCACCUAUUCUUCAUUAUCCCUUUAA